GACGAACCGUGCGGACGUUGUUCGGAAUCACUGGGCAUAAAGGGCGCGUAGGCGGCUUGUCAAGUCAGGGGUGAAAUCCGGCAGCUUAACUGUCGAAGUGCCUUUGAUACUGAUGAGCUCGAGGGAGGUAGGGGUAUGCGGAACUUCCGGUGGAGCGGUGAAAUGCGUUGAUAUCGGAAGGAACGCCGGUGGCGAAAGCGGCGUACUGGACCUCUUCUGACGCUGAGGCGCGAAAGCUAGGGGAGCAAACGGG
rnacentral:rRNA from 1 species